CAGCAGCCGCGGUAAUACAGAGGGUGCGAGCGUUAAUCGGAUUUACUGGGCGUAAAGCGUGCGUAGGCGGCUUUUUAAGUCGGAUGUGAAAUCCCCGAGCUUAACUUGGGAAUUGCAUUCGAUACUGGGAAGCUAGAGUAUGGGAGAGGACGGUAGAAUUCCAGGUGUAGCGGUGAAAUGCGUAGAGAUCUGGAGGAAUACCGAUGGCGAAGGCAGCCAUCUGGCCUAAUACUGACGCUGAGGUACGAAAGCAUGGGGAGCAAACAGGAUUAGAUACCCCUGUAGUCCCUGUCUCUUAUAC
rnacentral:rRNA from 1 species